AUUGAAUGCUGGCGGCAGGCUUUACACAUGCAAGUCGAGCGGGGAAGGGUAGCUUGCUACCUAACCUAGCGGCGGACGGGUGAGUAAUGCUUAGGAAUCUGCCUAUUAGUGGGGGACAACAUUCCGAAAGGAAUGCUAAUACCGCAUACGCCCUACGGGGGAAAGCAGGGGAUCUUCGGACCUUGCGCUAAUAGAUGAGCCUAAGUCAGAUUAGCUAGUUGGUGGGGUAAAGGCCUACCAAGGCGACGAUCUGUAGCGGGUCUGAGAGGAUGAUCCGCCACACUGGGACUGAGACACGGCCCAGACUCCUACGGGAGGCAGCAGUGGGGAAUAUUGGACAAUGGGCGCAAGCCUGAUCCAGCCAUGCCGCGUGUGUGAAGAAGGCCUUUUGGUUGUAAAGCACUUUAAGCGGGGAGGAGGCUACUUGGAUUAAUACUCUAGGAUAGUGGACGUUACUCGCAGAAUAAGCACCGGCUAACUCUGUGCCAGCCGCCGCCGUAACAC
rnacentral:rRNA from 1 species